GCAUUGCUGGGUCUUCAGAUUUUGUCGUAUAGUCGACAGUCCUUGAGGAAAUUUAUUAGCAGCUGCUCGCUAACUCUAUCGUUCUGCAGAGCAGUUGCUGCGUUGGUGAUUUGGUACGUGAUUCUUGGCUCGUGGUACAGUGGGCAGGAGUUGAGGAUGUGCUGGAUUGUGAUUCUGCAGUUACAGGUCGUGCAGUGCGUGUGGAAAUCACCGGGUCCAAAAUUGUGUGUGACCUUUGUGUGGCCGGUGCGCAUUCUUGACAGCACGACCUGUUCCCGCCGGUUUGGCAGAUCCUCACCAGGAAGGAUGGAAUUUUUGGCCAUUCUGCAGAUGUUACGCUGCCUUUGCCACUCACCUGCCCAUGUUGCGGUGACUUGCUGUUUGGUCCAUAACUUUGCGUCGGCGGCGGGUAUGCAGCGGACCAGGAAGGGGCUGUAUCUCCCGGUGUUCGCUUGGACGUCGGCGCGAAUGAAAACAUAGGGAGAUGCUUCGGAUGCCGGAGCCUUACUGAAUGGCAGACUGGAAGAAAAGGGGCUAACCUAACAGUAUUUCAGGUUGUGACUCGUGUAUCUGAGCAGGUCCAUCCCAUCCACCACGGAUGGAAGGAAGGUUCAAGUCAUCGCUCGGUGGAGGAGGAACUGGAGGUGAUGUUCGCAUUCCGCCUGGGACACGGUCCGUGUCUGUCUUGGAGUCAGUCCCAUCAUCCAAAGCCGCCUCUGCAUUAGCCGUCGUCGACCACUGACAGGAAGGGGUGUGUUGAUCAGAUAGCCUGUUGACGGGUGAUACGGUCCGUAUCGGAAUGGAAGGUCCAAUUGGAGAUGCUGCGAGAUGUUGCCAUGGUUCCGGAGGAUCGGCCCUGUUCGAUCCUAUAUGGAGGCUGGACCUUAGUCGGCUAAGACCGACGGUGCCCAAGUUCCCCUCGGCGAUGCGACGGCAGACGAUGCAAAAUUCCGCUGGUCGCCUUCGGGUGUAGUCGCAUCGGUCCACCGGGGGGGCCUUUCAUCAAUUUACAUUGGUUUGGGCAUUGGGCAUCGGCAGCCGACAGGGCCGAAGAAAGUUUCUGUUCGGUUUAUUCCCGGACAGGGUGAGAGGUUGUAAGUAUUGUUCCAAUCAGUUACUUUUAACGAUCAAAAAUUCAUCUGUUUUAUCUU